CACAUGAAUCAGUCAAGGGUGUACAUGUGUUCCCCAUCCUGAACCCCCCUCCCCAUCCCAUCCCAGUGCACCAGCCCUGAGCACCCUGUCUCAUGGAUCUAACCUGGACAGAUUUCUGCUAAGAGAAAUGAGAGACUAGUCCUGACCCCAGAACUAGCACAGAGCACCGAGAGAGGCUCAGGAUCAAGAGAACAAGAAGAAAAACAGAAGUUCAACUAGUGUUUCACAUCUGGCAUCACCCUGGAAGAACCUUCACGGGACUGGGGGAUCCUGAGGACCAAGGCUCUCACCAGGCAGACUCCCAGCUCAAGGAGCCCAUACAAGCAAUAAUUUAACUGGAAGAAGACUUGAAAAUUAACUACAAAACAUCAGAAUCAACAAGGUCUUCAGCACCCCCCAAUUCAGCAUCACUGUAGUAUCUUACCCUGGACAAAUAGGUGGCACUAGUAAGGAGCCUGCCUGCAAAUGCAGGAGACGUAAGAGAUUCGGGUUCGAUCCCUGGGUCAAGAAGAUCCCCUGGAGAAGGGCAUGGCAACUCACUCUAGUAUUCUUGCCCGGAGAGUCCCGUGAAGAGAGAACCUGGAGGGCUGUAGUCCACGGAGUUGCAAAGAGUCAGACACAACUGACGCUACUGAGCAUGCUUGUUUCUCCUUGCAGCACAAAAGCUGGUAGAAUGAAGUGGGUGUAAGAGUUAAUGUCCAAAGGUGGAAAUCAAGGUGAUAUGGAGCCCAUCAUUUCAAAAUAAUCAUCAGGUUUGCU
ensembl:lncRNA